rnacentral:rRNA from 1 species
ACGAACGCUGGCGGCAGGCCUAACACAUGCAAGUCGAGCGGGGGAGCAAUCCCUAGCGGCGGACGGGUUAGUAACGCGUGGGAAUAUACCCAAAGGUACGGAAUAGCCUCGGGAAACUGAGAGUAAUACCGUAUGUGCCCUACGGGGGAAAGAUUUAUCGCCUUUGGAUUAGCCCGCGUUGGAUUAGGUAGUUGGUGGGGUAAUGGCCUACCAAGCCUACGAUCCAUAGCUGGUUUGAGAGGGUGAUCAGCAACACUGGGACUGAGACACGGCCUAGACUCCUACGGGAGGCAGCAGUGGGGAAUCUUAGACAAUGGGGGAAACCCUGAUCUAGCCAUGCCGCGUGGACGAUGAAGGCCUUAGGGUUGUAAAGUCCUUUCAGAUGGGAAGAUAAUGACGGUACCAUCAGAAGAAGCCCCGGCUAACUCCGU